CAGGGAAUUUUGCACAAUGGACGGAAGUCUGAUGCAGCGACGCCGCGUGGGUGAAGAAGGCCUUCGGGUCGUAAAACCCUUUUCUGGGGGAAGAGGAAGGACGGUACUCCAGGCUUAAGUGUCGGCUAACUACGUGCCAGCAGCCGCGGUAAUACGUAGGCCACGAGCGUUAUCCGGAUUUACUGGGCGUAAAGCUCCUGUAGGCGGUUUCGUAAGUCGGAGGUGAAAGCCCCAGGAUUAACCUGGGGAGGCCAUUCGAUACUGC
rnacentral:rRNA from 1 species